GGUACAGGUCUUACUCUGCUCUACAAAGGGCUGCCAACAGUGAGAGACAGGGGCAGCUCUACAGAACACUUCAGGCUCUGACCUCACCAUGGCCCCAGGUAUCAGAGCUGGCCAUUCAUAAUGGGCCACUCCUCUCCUCUCCACCCUCAAACCUCUGGCUCUAUCUCUCAACUGCUCCAUUCUUCUUCUCUUUCCUCUGAACACCACAUACAUUGUGGUGGCUCAUGCUGCAUGCUGGGCCCUGGGUGACAUGCUGUACGGCUCGGUGGCAAGUGGGUGUCUAUGGGCCACCUGUGCCUUGUGCUAGAGGACAGGUCUUUGCAUUGCCUGAAAGUCUCUGUUUUCCUCCUGCUGUGUAUCAUUGCUGGAUUUGAUUUUUUAUGAAUUCUAGAAAUAAGACAACAUUGACCACCAAGCCAACCAUUAACCUAGGAUGAACAAAGGACUGCCACUUCUCUACCUCUGACUGAUAUAAAAACAAUACCACCAACGAGGAGUCUCCUUGCUCAUUGUCAAGAGGAGGUGAACAAGCUGUAGGAAAUCAUCAUCUGAUCCUGGUCAUUUGACAAAGGAGGCUCCAGAGGUCCAAGAAUCAGGAAACCCUUGGAAAUCACUUAAUGACCUAACAGCCCACAGUGCAUGCUGCCUUGCUCCUGUGGUGGCAUAUCUUCCUCUUGUGUUCUCUUUCACCAUCUUGUCUCUAAGUUUUUGUCCCAAGCUUUGAUAAAAAAUUGCUCUCACUUUCUGUCAUUUAUCAUUGGGUUUUGAUGACACAGAUACACCUAAUUCACACCUCUGGGAUUAUUUACACUGUUUUAGUAUUUUUAUGCAUUGUCAAUUGUACUGUGUUGCUAGAAGGACGCCAAUUAGCUUACAAUUUCUCAUUUCAGUGGGCUUUGAUAUUUUUAAUUGAAAACUUCUUUUAAAUAUUCGAAACUAACCUGCUUCAGUUGAUAGUAGUAUAGGGUUAUACUAACUGGGUGUUUUAGGACAAUUCUCAUUAUUAUCGUGGACAAAUGACAACAACUUGUCUUUGUCAUUACUUUGGUUUCCUUACUUGUAAGGAACUAGUCUUUCUUGGUUAUUUCUAUUUCCUGGUGCAGGGUAUCAAAACGUAAACAAACUGUUUAAUAGAGAUAAGUCUAAACUAAAGAAAAAAUGUCAUGAAGUACACAAGGCAGACGGUAGUAAAACGUAAGAAGAGUAGCAGUCACCAAGGGGGAGUGUUUAGGAAAGAGAACAUGGCACAGAGGAUCUUGUCUCCUUUCUCGGAUGAGUCAGGAGUCACCCAGUUGUCACCUGCCAGUGCAGAGGAGGAAUGGAGAGGGAGGACAUUUCUCCAUUCCCUAGAGAGAUUUAGAAACUUCUUAAAGAAGUUUCCAAGAAGGAGCAUUUGUUUUUGUGACUUCAGAGUAAAUGAGAAGCCAGCCACUCAAUUCAGCCACGGCCAGAAAUAACAUGUGUAUUUCACAAGAGAAUUUAAAAGGAAAUAGUAUCAAGUUCUUAAACAUGCUAAAUAUUUGCAAAAAUAUCUUGUCUUAAAAUUUAUAAUUAAGGUUAAAAAGCAAACACACUGAAAGCAUUUAAAAGACUUUUAUUUCGAUACUUGGUAUAUUGACAAUUUAAAGAGAACCCAUUUGAAUAUAGAAAAAGAGGGAAUAUAUAUUGUAUUGUUAUAGAAAUGUAGCAACUUGAAUUUGAAAUGAUUGAUAAGGCCAAAAUUAAAGAGUCAUAUAAAUAACUGGAAGCACUUUAAUUUUUAAAACUAAAUUUUUAAACUAAAAGUAUCUAUAGGAAAGUGUAUAUAGCAGCUUUCUUAGGUAAUAUAAUGUUUAAAAAGUUCUUAGUAUAUUUUUAUCUGAUUUACUGAAGAUAAAACCAUACUCCCUUACAGUUAAUGACAAACGCACGGAAAACUGUCACUCAUGAUUAGGCCUAAGGAAACAAUAAACAAAAAACAGAAGAUGGAUGAAUAAUAAAUAAGACAGAAAAUUGGUAUUACAUUAUUAUUAAAAGCCAUUAAAUCCCAGCAAGAAAAUUCUGUAAAUAUUUAAAAUUACAAAUGAAAAAAUGUCGAAAUAAAACUUUAUUUUCCUGUUUUCACCUACUCCAUUCUUAUUUGUGGAGAGCCUAUAUUCUAAGUCUGUUCAAUCAUAGUUUCCUAAAAGUUGUAACAUAAACUCCUAUGGAUUUUUUUGUCCUUUUCUAUUAAUAACUUUUUAAGUUCCCAAGAGUUUAGCCAUUUCAAAAUUACCCGGACACACCAUAUGGACAUGAGGCUCUUCUGGUACCAGACAUUCAUAAUCUCUAGUAACCUUCCCAGAAAUCAGGCCAGCAUGGGCAGUGUGAGGACAAGAACACUUUUCCAUGUGGAAACUACUCCCUGGCCUUUGUCCCCAGUUUGUCCUGGAGGCUCUCCUAUUUCUCAACCCAAUUAGGCAAUAAGAAAGAGCAGGUGGCUUACUCAGUCAUGUAAGGGAUACUGAUCACCCCAACACAAAGACUGAGCUCAUUUACCUUGCGUUUAGUUGACUUUAUGCCAACAGUCAAAUAUUUAGAUAUCUGAGUAAACUUUGAAAAGGACAAUUAGGGAAAUAUCAAUGUGAAUAAAAUAAUAACUUCCACAUAAAUGCUGUCUUAUAGCCUUCCUUUCCAGAAUCUAAGUAAAUUUAAGGCUAUUGUCAUGUUUUAAAAGUCUGUGCACACAGUCAGAAUCUGAUCGGAAGGAGGAUGGCACGAUUGUGUAGUGAACUGACUGACAUUUCAACUAAUUGCAUCAGUCUUACACCUCUAUGCCUAACUUGCAGAGUUGUAAUCAUCUUUUCAGAGGUAUCUUUGAUAAGAGACUGACGUUGUGAUAUAUUAUACUAAUAGUUAGCCAAGAGAGUGCUUUCCACAUGUUAGAGAGCAUUCCAGAAACAGCUACAUCAUAUAAAGUAAUCUUGCAAUCAGUGCUUGAAUGUAGUACUAUUUUCCCAAUCAUUUAAGUAGCAAAAGUGAUACUUGAAGGUUGGGAAACUUACAAAAGUUUUAGUGGAGUUGAAUGACACCAGAAAUGCUUGCUGCUCAGUUCUGACCCUUUUUCUCUACAUCACACUGUUACCAAAUACUGUCAACACGAAACAAUGUAUAAAGACAUAGAAAGGUGGUCUAAGGCCCUUAUAUGACUCAGGAAACAGUGUUAUAUAUGAGAGAAUACAGUAACCUUACUUAAAGUAGGAAAAUAAAAUUCUGUCUAAACUGGUCAUUUUUGCAUGAUUUCAUACAUUUUCAAACUUUUGUAUUUGUACUUUCCAAAGCAUUAAAAUGCUCUAAAGAAAAUGAUUGCUAUGUUCUAAGAUUUUGAAAUAAAAUGGAAAUUCAAAAAAAGAAUUAGUUACAUGUUUGCAUUACUCAGAG
ensembl:lncRNA